CCGCGCAGGGGCCGGGGGGGGCCGGGGCUGGGGCCGGGGCCGGGGCCGGGGCCGGGGCCGGGACCGGUGGCCCCCGGGUUGGAGGGGUCCCCGGGCACCCGGAGCAUCCAUCCCGGGGGGGCGGCUGCCGCGGCCAGGUACCUGCCCGAGGAUGAGCUGUGACUCGUGACCCGAUGGGAACCUAAGCCCAGCUGUACACAUCUGCACCCCAGAGAUCCACGUUUAGGUAAAAUAAUCCCCACUCCUGGCUUUCAGGUCUCGUGUCAUGCCAGACAAGAGCCAAGCACUCAGCAGCAUCAGGUGCUAACAGGGCAGCUGCUUGGAGGGAGGCGCUGUCACCUUGACCUCGCACACACAUUUGUGAGGAUGCCAUAAGAAAGUGAGGUCUUCAAAGGAAGAGACAAACACACUGCUGCUCAAUGGGGAGGACUUCGGGAGCAAACCCAAAGGUCUGUGGCCGUGUGUGGAGUCCCCAGGAGGAUGCAGUGGGACAGCCAUUGCAGAGCUUCAGAGUGGGAAAGAGAGGAAACUGCAGCCUUCACACUGAUCCUUGCCUCCCAGCCAUUUUGGUGUCUAUUUUCACAGCCAGAUCCUCAUCUGGUGUAAAUCAGUGAAGCUUCACCAAAGUCAAGUUGCUCCUGGAUGCCAUUGUCCAGUCUUCCAGAGUCAAAACUGAUGUUUUAUAGAAGCCCGUGGUUGCACAUAU